CUUCGGGAUAGCGUCUCGAAAGGGGCGAUGAUACCGGAUGCUGUCAUUGAGCGACAGUUCAAUGAUGAAAGGGUAACCGGCACAGGAGCGGCCUGCCUCCUAUCAGCUUGUUGGUGAGGUAAAAGCUCACCAAGGCAACGACGGGUAGCGGGACUGAGUGGUUGACCCGCCACAUCGGGACUGAGACACUGCCCGGACCCCCACGGGGGGCUGCAGUAACGAAUCUUCCACAAUGGGCGAAAGCCUGAUGGAGCGACGCCGCGUGCGGGAAGAAGUCCUUCGGGAUGUAAACCGCUGUCAGGGACAAGAAACUCCCGGUUCGCCGGGAUUGAUCUACCCCUGAGGAAGUCACGGCUAACUUCGUGCCAGCAGCCGCGGUAAGACGAAGGUGGCUAGCGUUGUUCGGUAUCACUGGGCUUAAAGGGUAUGUAGGCUGAAUGGAAAGCGUCGUGUGAAAGCCCUCGGCUUAACCGAGGAAUUGCUCGGCGAACUUCCAUUCUUGAGGCAAACAGGGGUGCGCGGAACUCUUGGUGGAGCGGUGGAAUGCGUAGAUAUCAAGAGGAACGCCGGUGGCGAAAGCGGCGCACUAGGUUUGCACUGACGCUGAAGUACGAAAGCGUGGGGAGCGAACGGGAUUAGAUACCCCGGUAGUCCACGCCGUAAACGAUGUGUACUAGGCUGUGGUAGUUCUGACACUUUCACGGCCGAAGCAAAAGCGUUAAGUACACCGCCUGGGGACUACGGUCGCAAGGCUAAAACUCAAAGGAAUUGACGGGGGCUCACACAAGCGGUGGAGCAUGUGGAUUAAUUCGAAGCAACGCGCAGAACCUUACCUGGGUUUGACAUGCAUGUAUGGCUUCCUGGAAACAGGAUAGUCUGCCCUUCGGGGU
rnacentral:rRNA from 1 species